GGAAGCUAUGGAAAUCCCAGUCCAGCAGAAGAAGAUUUCACUCGAUGUUAAGGGAAUUAAAACAGAUAUAGUCAUAUGUGCCUAUGAUGACCAUUUUAUGGCUAUAGCUACUCAAAUAGGAAGCAUGGGUACGAUAUUGCAGGCCAGGAAGGAGGAAGGGGUGUCGAUCCAUCCAACCUUUAGUGUUUCUGUAUUACUGGGCAAACGCGAUGAGCCCAUGCUGGUUGCAUGCGCUCGGCAGAUUAUUGAACACAUAAGUAAUGCCGGAUCUUCUAGGUCUUUGGUUUUAUCUCUUGGACUACGCGACCAUUCUCUGCCCACUUUGAAGGGUAUCGUUUCGGCUGUCACUGAGAACUGCCUUUGGUGACCUAGGCUCUUGUCAAUUUUGGAUUGUUCAUAGUUGUUAUAGCCAGAAGAGAGAAACUUAAUGAUUGAUUCAGUCCUGUGAAGUGUUUAUUGCUUACUUUUCCUCAAUGAUGUUCUAUUAUUAUCAGCAAGACUUCUCUAGACUGUAAAAAAAGUGUUUCUAUUGGUGUCCUUAUUGAGAGAGGGGCUUUAUGACUCACUCUAGAAAUGCAUUUAUUGUGAUCAUUCGAGUGUUUUGGUGCAAAUGGAGAUUGCGAUUUGUUCUCUCUUUUUCAAACAAUUGUAACGAGGAUU
rnacentral:misc_RNA from 1 species